UGGCUCAGCCCAGGGGCCGGGGCUCAGCUCCCCGCACCGGCCUUAAAGGUUCCGGGAGAGGCAAAGUCGGACGCGGGUCCUGAGCACCGAGCUGCAGGGGGGAGCUGGGGCAGCCCCCGAGGCGCGCGCCCUGCAUUUCCCACCGUUUCCACGCUGCCCUGCGCGCGCGGUGGGGAGCCCUUGGGGUGAGUAGGAGGGCGCGGGCAGGGGCAGAGCCGAAGACCUCCCGCCACUAUGCAGACGGGGCUCCCCACCCACCCUCCUGUCCCAACCACUAUAGAUCCCAGCCAGUGCGCCCCGCAACCCUCCCAGGAGAAGCUGCCCCGGGACCACUGCGUCCCGGUAUCAAGAGGACAGAAAGUCUCUCUGUGCCUCCUUUUGGAAGGGUUUCUGCCCUCGGGGUUGUUGCGGGACAGAAACGGUUUUAUCUAAAACUAGACCUCCUCGCACACUCAUGGUUUGCAGAGCUCCGAACCUCGCCGCCUAGAUCUCCACCUGCGCAAAACCAAAGGGCGGAUUCUCCUCCCUGGGGUGAGAACGGGAGACUCAUUCCUCCUGCACUGGGAGAAAGCGACUCUUCAGGAGGAGGACAGGGAAGCUAAUGCUACCCUGGAUUCUAGAACAGUCCUAGAGAAGCAGUGAGCCAGCCUCAGGCGAGAACGCCCAGGUGCAGGUGGAUGGCCGCAGGUCAGGCCUACUUUUCCUACACCUGUUGCUGGGGCGCAUUUCCACAGCCACUCUCAGCCCACGGUGCCUGUCACCGCCAGGCAGCCCUGCCAGGCAUGAGGACACCAAACCCACCUAUAUCUCAUCUAAAAUCCAUCCAGCAUCAAGAUUUCCACAUCUGAGCUUACACCUUUAACCUACAGGCCACAGCAAAGAGGGCUUUGGAGAAAGGGAAGCACAGAGGUAGCACGGACGAGCCUCAAUUAACCACUCCUGUCGCAGCACACCCACCUCCCCAGACACGGUGCACAAUGGUCCCUCAGGAAGCCUUUCUUGAGUCCUGCAUUUAACCACAGAGGCCCAGAGGCCCAGAGGCCCAGAUAUGGUGGUGACUGCCUGCUCAGCCUGUCCCCACCAUUUUUUUUUUCCCGAGACGGAGUCUCACUCUGUUGCCCAGGCUGGAGUACGUUGGUUGGCACAAU